rnacentral:RNase_P_RNA from 1 species
UCGGCGAAUCGCUCUAUCGCUCAAAUUAUUUUGGGAGGAAAGUCCGGGCAGGACAGAGCAGUGCACUGUGGAAAGCACAGAAAGGUGAAAGCUUAUGCCAGGGGUAACAGAAAAUAACCGCCGUAGCAAUACGGUAAGGGUGAAAAUGUGGGGUAAGAGCCCACGUAUUGUAAUGGCAACAUUAUAGUAGUAUCUCACUGCAUCCUGCAAGGCCAUGUAUACCAGCAGUUAAGGGUUGCUCGUCCGUUGCUGGGGGGUAGGCUGCGACAGAUAAAUGAUAGAGGCUUUCUAGGCUAUUUUUAUAGCAGUUUAAAGUACAGAACUCGGCUUAUAGAUUCGCCCAUAAA